AUACGGAGGAUCCGAGCGUUAUCCGGAUUUAUUGGGUUUAAAGGGUGCGCAGGCGGGAGAUUAAGUCGGCGGUGAAAUUUUGCAGCUCAACUGUAAAAGUGCCUUCGAAACUGGUUUCCUUGAGUGUAGAUGAAGUAGGCGGAAUUUGUGGUGUAGCGGUGAAAUGCAUAGAUAUCACGAGGAACUCCGAUUGCGCAGGCAGCUUACUAAACUACUACUGACGCUCAGGCACGAAGGCGUGGGGAUCAAACAGGAUUAGAUACCCUGGUAGUCCACGCAGUAAACGAUGAUUACUAGCUGUUUGCGAUACAAUGUAAGCGGCUGAGCGAAAGCGUUAAGUAAUCCACCUGGUGAGUACGUUCGCAAGAAUGAAACUCAAAUGAAUUGACGGGG
rnacentral:rRNA from 1 species